rnacentral:rRNA from 1 species
ACAUAGCUUUCAGGUAAGUUUGGGGCUUGCAGUAUUGGAGGUGAGGCCUGCCCAAUGGUUGUAUCUAAAUUUAGAUGGUAAGAUAAGUUGUUUAAUUAAAGGCAAUUGAAUGGCCGCGGUAACUCUGACCGUGAUAAUGUAGCGCAAUCAAUAGUCAAUUAAUUGUUGACAUGUAUGAAUGGCGUAACGAGUGCCCCACUGUCUCAAGAUAAAAACCAGUGAAAUUGAAAUGGUAGUGAAGAUGCUACAAGCAAAUUGUAAGACGAGAAGACCCCGUUGAGCUUUACUGGAGGCUUGAAUUGUUUUUUUUAAACACUAAUGUUUAGAUUAUGUGGUUCCACCCUUUAAGUUUAAUAAAACCAAUAGGGCAAUGCCCCUGGAAGUUUAAGUUGGACAGUUUGAUUGGGGCGAUGGCCUUCUAAAGAGUAACGAAGGUGAACAAAGGUAAGGAGAUAAUAUAAUGAAAAGCCUGACAGUAAGGGGGACUGACAAGCUGACACAGAGUGAAAUAUGCUGUGGGUUAUAGUGACCCGUUAGUUAAGAGUGGAUUUGCUAGCGAGUAACGAAUAAAAGUUACCAGGGGGAUAACAGCGUAAUUUACGUUUGAGAGUUCUUAUUGAUGACGGAGUU